GAUGAACGCUGGCGGCGUGCCUAAUACAUGCAAGUCGAGCGAACGGACGAUAAGCUUUCUUCUCUGAUGUUAGCGGCGGACGGGUGAGUAACACGUGGAUAACCUACCUAUAAGACUGGGAUAACUUCGGGAAACCGGAGCUAAUACCGGAUGAUAUUUUGAACCGCAUGGUUCAAAAGUGAAAGACGGUCUUGCUGUCACUUAUAGAUGGAUCCGCGCUGCAUUAUCUAGUUGGUAAGGUAACGGCUGACCAAGGCAACGAUGCAUAGCCGACCUGAGAGGGUGAUCGGCCACACUGGAACUGAGACACGGUCCAGACUCCUACGGGAGGCAGCAGUAGGGAAUCUUCCGCAAUGGGCGAAAGCCUGACGGAGCAACGCCGCGUGAGUGAUGAAGGUCUUCGGAUCGUAAAACUCUGUUAUUAGGGAAGAACAUAUGUGUAAGUAACUGUGCACAUCUUGACGGUACCUAAUCAGAAAGCCACGGCUAACUACGUG
rnacentral:rRNA from 1 species